UACGAGGGAUCCUAGCGUUGUUCGGAAUCAUUGGGCGUAAAGAGCGUGUAGGCGGCCCGAUAAGUCCGCCGUGAAAGUCCAGGGCUCAACCCUGGAAUGCCGGUGGAAACUGUCGGGCUGGAGUCCGGAAGAGGCGAGUGGAAUUCCUGGUGUAGCGGUGAAAUGCGCAGAUAUCAGGAGGAACACCAAUGGCGAAGGCAGCUCGCUGGGACGGUACUGACGCUGAGACGCGAAAGCGUGGGGGAGCAAACAGG
rnacentral:rRNA from 1 species